AAUGAAGGAAAGGAAAAAGAGAGGAAAAGAGAUUUUAAGGAAGGAAUAUAUAUGUUUUCAAGUCAAUAUUUUUGAAUUGGAGAUGCUAUUUACACUAAGGUGGUAACGUGAAAGUUGGGCAAGGCUGGUAAAAUUGAACCAAAUUGCUAUUCAUAGAUCUUUCAGCUUAUGGAUUUCGGAUGAUGAUUUUAGCUUAGUGAGUUUGUCUAAUGUUCUCACUCAUCUUGUAUUAAUUAUUAUCAUCUUUCUUUUAUAUAUCGGCUUGAGUCUAAUUUAUGAUUUAGUACCAGAAUUUUGAGUUUAUACGAUGUUAUGAUACAGACAUCAAGAAUAAUGAGUACAUUAAGGUAAAUGUAGCUCUAUGUAUGUAUGAUCAGAUUAUAGAAUUCAGUUAUUCAGUUCUAAGAAUAAAGUUUUCAGUUUAUAGUAUUGAGUAACAACAAUAUUUCAUAGAUUAUCAUGGGUACCAAAAUUUGUUAUACUUUACAGUUAUUUAUCUCGAAUAAAGAACAAAGAAUCUUAUGAUGCA